rnacentral:lncRNA from 1 species
UUAAUUCUAAUAAAAUACUAACAAUGCUCUAAUUAGACCAUAAUAAUAUUAAGCAAGCUUAAUAAAUUCAAAAAAACCUCAAAGAAAUUUCAAACAAACAAUAAGAAUUCUUAAAGAAAUAUUAGAAUAAUCACAAAUAUCACUCAAAUAUAUCUCAAUUCAAUCUUAAUUUAAUUCUAGUCAAAUCCUAUUGAACUUCAUUCAAACUUUAGGCCAAAAUUAAUUAAAUCUUAAACUCUAAUAAAAUCCUAAAUCCUAAAUCAAAUCCUAAACAAAUCUUAAAUCAAUUCUCAAUCAAAUCUUAAACCAAAUC